rnacentral:rRNA from 1 species
AGAGUUUGAUCCUGGCUCAGGAUGAACGCUGGCGGCGUGGAUAAGGCAUGCAAGUCGAACGAAGAAGUCCCAUGAAUUUGCAAGAAACUUGAGAGUAGCAAUACGAUUGAGAAUCUGGUGAUGGAUUGGGUUCGCUUCUUAGUGGCGAACGAGGUAGUAAUACAUAGGAACUUCCCCCAAAGUCGUGAAUAAUUCGGAGAAAUCCGGACUAAUACACGAUGGUCUCGCAAGAGUAAAGAUUUUUCGCUUUGGGAAAGCCUGUGCGAUAUCAGCUAGUUGGUAGUGUAAUGGACUACCAAGGCUAUGACGUCUAGGGGAGCUGAGAGGCUGACCCCCACCGAUGGUACUGAGACACGGACCAUACACCUACGGGUGGCUGCAGUCGAGAAUCUUCCGCAAUGGACGAAAGUCUGACGGAGCGACGCCGCGUGAUUGAUGAAGUCCCUCUGGGACGUAAAGAUCUUUUAUGAGGGAAGAAGUUUAUUGACGGUACCUCAUGAAUAAGAGGCUCCUAAUCUCGUGCCAGCAGGAGCGGUAAUACGAGAGCCUCGAGCGUUAUCCGGAAUUAUUGGGCGUAAAGGGUGCGUAGGUUGUUCUGUUAGUCUUUUGUCAAAAUCCGGGGCUUAACUUCGGCGACGCGAAAGAAACGGCAGGACUUUGAAAGUGCGAGGGGUAUAUGGAACUCAUGGUGUAGGGGUGAAAUCCGUUGAUAUCAUGGGGAACACCAAAAGCGAAGGCAGUAUACUGGCGCAUAUUUGACACUGAAGCACGAAAGCGUGGGUAGCGAAUGGGAUUAGAUACCCCAGUAGUCCACGCCCUAAACGAUGAUCUCUCGCUAUUCGGAGUAUCGACCCUCUGAGUGGCUUAGCUAACGCGUUAAGAGAUUCGCCUGGGAAGUACGGCCGCAAGGCUAAAACUCAAAGGAAUAGACGGGGACUUGCACAAGCAGUGGAUUAUGUGGUUUAAUUCGAUGGUAGACGAAGAACCUUACCAGGGUUAGAAAUCUACGUGAAAGCUCCCAGAAACGGGAGCCCUCGCAAGACUAGUAGACAGGUGAUGCAUGGCCGUCGUCAGUUCGUGGUUUGAAUUGUUCCCUUAAGUGGGGUAACGAACGCAACCCUCGUUGUGUGUUACAAGUGUCACACGAGACCGCCCCCACAAAAGCGCAUGAGCUUAGGCUCACGAGUUUUUGUGGGGGAGGAAGGAGAGGAUGACGCCAGGUCAGCAUGUCCCUCUGAUACCCUGGGCUACACACAUAAUACAAUGGCCAUUACAACGCGCAGCGACGAGGCGACUCUGAGCUAAUCGUACAAAAAUGGCCUCAGUUCGGAUUGGAGUCUGCAACUCGACUCCAUGAAGCCGGAAUUGCUAGUAAUCACAGGUCAGCUAAACUGUGGUGAAUACGUUCUCAAGUCUUGUACUCACCGCCCGUCAAGUCAAGGGAGCCGGGAGUACCCGAAGUCUCUACAUAAGUAGGGCCUAAGGUAAGCUCGGUGACAGGGACUAAGUCGUAACAAGGUA